rnacentral:rRNA from 1 species
UGCCAGCAGCCGCGGUAAUACGGAGGGUGCAAACGUUGCUCGGAAUCACUGGGCGUAAAGCGCGCGUAGGCGGUCAGUCAAGUUGGAUGUGAAAGCCCUGGGCUCAACCUGGGAAGUGCAUCCAAAACUGGUUGACUCGAGUUUCGGAGGGGGCCAGAGAAUUCCCGGUGUAGAGGUGAAAUUCGUAGAUAUCGGGAGGAAUACCAGUGGCGAAGGCGCUGGCCUGGACGGUAACUGACGCUGAGGCGCGAAAGCGUGGGUAGCAAACAGGAUUAGAUA